AUCCUUUUCUGGUUCAUAAGCAUGAUAAUUGGGUGUUCACACCCUUGUGUGACAUGUGCCUCCCUAAAUCUUUUAUGCAUUUGGCACAUUACCCAUCUGAUG
rnacentral:snoRNA from 1 species